UACGAAGGGGGCUAGCGUUGCUCGGAAUCACUGGGCGUAAAGGGUGCGUAGGCGGGUCUUUAAGUCAGGGGUGAAAUCCUGGAGCUCAACUCCAGAACUGCCUUUGAUACUGAGGAUCUUGAGUUCGGGAGAGGUGAGUGGAACUGCGAGUGUAGAGGUGAAAUUCGUAGAUAUUCGCAAGAACACCAGUGGCGAAGGCGGCUCACUGGCCCGAUACUGACGCUGAGGCACGAAAGCGUGGGGAGCAAACAAG
rnacentral:rRNA from 1 species